rnacentral:lncRNA from 1 species
UAGAGACGGACCUGAACUGUGCAUUUCAGCGUCGGAAGACGUUUGUGGUUCACCGUUAACGUCCUUCAAGGCACCAGUCGAGGAGCGCGGGACUAGCGAUUACACGACUGCGCGCGUGCCCGUGCUGUCCAUCUGGGAGAGGCGCGGAGCCGGCAUCCCGCGCGUGCGGGGACACCCGCGACGAGCCCUGGGGGUCACAGCUGCCCGAGUCCUGUCCUAGUGCCCUUCGCUGCGUUACCACCGCGCUCGCUGGUUUAUCUUGCCCCGUGAUGUAUUAAAUCAUUUCUGCCAGCCAAGGAGACGUUCAGGUGCCAGACCGGCCUGCAGGCUUCCCCCAGCGCCGGUCGCCCCAGCGGCAGCGCGACCGGCCCAGCGUAACGCAGCAGCUGCUGGAGGUGUGUACAUCUCCAGGACAUCUAUGUGCAUCUAUGAAUACAUGUGUACCUCUGUGUGUGUGUGUAUAUAUAUAAUACAUGCAUGAUAUAAAAUUAUAGAGAUAUUCACAUAUGAAAUUAAAAGGUUGUUUUAAAGAACUCUUCUUGCGAAUCCGAGGGAUAUUACAGCGUUAUGAUAGGAUUUCUUUACCAACCUUUGUCAUCACAUCCUCUGCUCAGUAAAUCUCCGUAGGAGAUCUGUAGCUGUAAGAGAAUAUAACCACAAGGUGGAAAUUGUUUUUCUCGGUGCCGGUGUGCCUAGCAGGCUAGACUGUGCUAAGCAGUUUGUCUUGUGUGUUAAGAGGAUUCCUUAAUAGUUCAAGCUGAAAGGGAGAAGAAUUUCCAAACUGAGAGUGAUGACUUACUUGAAGUGAGAGAAACAUAUUACAACGGGCUGAUCGUAGUCUCACAUAAACCAUUCUUAUCUAAGUGCUUCGUGGGGUUUUUCUGUAAGGGAAGGAUUUUGUGCUUAAAACGUUGGCCUUCUGUGUUAAGGUUGCACUGCUUUUUGUGCAUCAGCUCUUACUCUGUACAAAACAGGACUUGCACGGGGUGAUGUACAGAACAGUAUCUUUUUC